rnacentral:ncRNA from 1 species
UCCAGUUUGAUUCUAGCUCAAAUUUAGCUAUUCCUGAGAAAAACACAUGCAAACCUAUAUACCCCCGUGAAAAACUAUUUUUUAAUUAAAAAAUUUAAAAUCUUUUAACUAAAAUAUGGUGAAAGAUCAACUUUACAGCAACUACACCUUAAAGCAAUCUCACGCCUGCAGUGAUUAAUCCUGCAUUGUUUAGAAAUAAAGCCUCGGCCACAGGAACCUAGAGUUGGUGAAAUCCGUGCCAGCUACCGCGGUUAAACGGCAGACUCAAGCUAAAUUCCUCGGAAAUUAUGGCUUUUAGAUAAAAACCUACUCAAAAGAAGUCUAAUUCUACCAAUUUUCUCAAAACCAAAUAUAUCUCUCUCUUAUUACCAUGAAAGCCCAAAUAAAAACAAGGAUUAGAUACCCUUUUAUCCUGGGCCCAAAAUUAUCCUGGGUACUACAAACACAGGUUUAAAACCCAAAGAACUUGGCGGUACCUAAAUCCAAUCAGGGGAACCUGUCCUUUAAAUCGACAAUCCACGUAAAUUUUACCUUUUCUCGAAUACACAGCCUGUAUACUGCCGUCGCCAGCCCACCAUAAUAAUGUAAGUGAGCCAAAAGAUUUUUAUCCUCACGUCAGGUCAAAGUGCAGCUUAUGAAAAGGAAGAGAUGGGUUACAAUUUUUAAUCUAAAUAUGAAUUACUAAUGAAAAUAACUAUAAAAGUGGACUUGAAAGUAAUUAAAAAUAACCUAUUUUAAUGAAUAUGGCAACCUAAGGUGUGCACACAUCGCCCGUCACUCUCGCCGAAAGGGGAGAUAAGUCGUAACAUAGCAGGUGUAAUGGAAAUUGCACCUCA